rnacentral:rRNA from 1 species
GGUGGCCAUCGCGGGGUUGAUACACUCGUUCCCAUCCCGAACACGGCCGUGAAACACCCCAGCGCCUAUGGUACUGCGUCUUAAGACGCGGGAGAGUCGGUCGCCGCC